rnacentral:rRNA from 1 species
UCCCUCAAAGACGAUGAGGUAGAUAGGUUCGGGGUGGAAGCGUGGCGACACGUGCAGCUGACGAAUACUAAUCGAUCGAGGACUUAACCAA